rnacentral:rRNA from 1 species
CGGACGGGUGAGUAACGCGUGGAUAACCUGCCUCACACUGGGGGAUAACAGUUAGAAAUGGCUGCUAAUACCGCAUAAGCGCACAGUACCGCAUGGUACGGUGUGAAAAACCCAGGUGGUGUGAGAUGGAUCCGCGUCUGAUUAGCCAGUUGGCGGGUAACGGCCCACCAAAGCGACGAUCAGUAGCCGACCUGAGAGGGUGACCGGCCACAUUGGGACUGAGACACGGCCCAA